rnacentral:rRNA from 1 species
UCAUAUGCUUGUCUCAAAGAUUAAGCCAUGCAUGUCUGGGUAUAAGCAAUUAUACAGCGAAACUGCGAAUGGCUCAUUAUAUAAGUUAUCGUUUAUUUGAUAGUACCUUACUACUUGGAUAACCGUGGUAAUUCUAGAGCUAAUACAUGCUGCCAACCCCGACUCCGGAAGGGGCGUAUUUAUUAGAUCCAAAGCCAACGCCCUCCUGGGGCUCCUUGGUGAUUCAUGAUAACUCUUCGAAUCGCACGGCCUUGCGCCGGCGAUGGUUCAUUCAAAUUUCUUCCCUAUCAACUUUCGAUGUUUGGGUAUUGGCCAAACAUGGUCGCAACGGGUAACGGAGGGUUAGGGCUCGACCCCGGAGAAGGAGCCUGAGAAACGGCUACUACAUCCAAGGAAGGCAGCAGGCGCGCAAAUUACCCAAUCCCGACACGGGGAGGUAGUGACAAUAAAUACUGAUACAGGGCUCUUUAGGGUCUUGUAAUUGGAAUGAGUACAGUUUAAACCCCUUAGCGAGGAACAAUUGGAGGGCAAGUCUGGUGCCAGCAGCCGCGGUAAUUCCAGCUCCAAUAGCGUAUAUUAAAGUUGUUGUGGUUAAAAAGCUCGUAGUUGAACCUUGGGCCUGGCUGGCCGGUCCGCCUCACCGCGUGCACUGGUCCGGCCGGGCCUUUCCCUCUGCGGAACCACAUGCCCUUCGCUGGGCGUGGCGGGGAGGCAGGACGUUUACUUUGAAAAAAUUAGAGUGCUCAAGGCAGGCCUAUGCUCGGAUACAUUAKCAUGGAAUAAUGAAACAGGACGCGCGG